rnacentral:lncRNA from 1 species
AAAAUUAACAAUAAACAACAAUGAUGAAAUAAAUAAAUAAUUGAAUAAUUAAAUGAAUAAUCAUGAUAAUAAUAAAAUAAUCAGAGCACUUUAUUUAUUAAAUAUCAAGUUAUAGAAUUAAUCUAAAUAAACUUAUUAAUUAUGUGUAGCCUAGGUUCUACUGAAAUUUCGGCAACAUUUCCCCUAAAAAUGGGACUAUCCACCUAUUUAAAUAUCAAAAAUUUCAUUCAAUAUUAACUCAAUUCACACAGCCCAUCCGUCGGGCAAUCAAUCAAAUCAAAUACCCAUCCGCCUUCAAUAAUAUAUCACCAAUCAACCAUAAUUUACAAAUUAAAAGACCUUCAACUAUUCUAGGAAUAUUAUCAAUAAUUCUUUGCUUAAGGUAUAAACAAUAUCAUUAAACAUUUAUUAAAGUUCUAGACUAACUAUUAAUAACUAAUAUUUCAAUUAACUUCCAAGUUAGUAAAUACUUCUACUAGAUAACUCAACUCGAAACUUAAACAUAUAACUAAAGCUUCAUAAAUUUCUCUGUCUUAACAUAAAAAUACCACUUCUAGAUAUAACUAAAGAGUUUUUCAAUUGAAUCGUUAAUUUAGCAAGAAUAUUGCUAUCAAGCAGUAACCAACACUAACCAACAUAAGAGUAUUGAAAAUAUAAAUAUAUAUACAUACAUCUGUUUCCAUACCAAUUAUUUAAAAUGGUACGAAGUACCUGAAAUAGCUACUGCGCUCAAGAAAAAUAUAUUUUUGCUUAAACUUGAGCUCAUAUCGCAUUAAGAACUUGGUUUAUGACUUCGCAUAUUCAUCCCAAACACUAUAAUUCAAGAAAUCAACUAAAUAAUUACUGCUAGCUCAAGGAUUUCAAGAUUUCCUAUUAAGUNNNN